AACCGUUAUAACCGGCGAUACCCGAAUGGGGAAACCCAGUGUGAUUCGUCACACUAUCAUUAACUGAAUCCAUAGGUUAAUGAGGCGAACCGGGGGAACUGAAACAUCUAAGUACCCCGAGGAAAAGAAAUCAACCGAGAUUCCCCCAGUAGCGGCGAGCGAACGGGGAGGAGCCCAGAGCCUGAAUCAGCAUGUGUGUUAGUGGAAGCGUCUGGAAAGGCGCGCGAUACAGGGUGACAGCCCCGUACACAAAAGCGCAUGUGCUGUGAGCUCGAUGAGUAGGGCGGGACACGUGGUAUCCUGUCUGAAUAUGGGGGGACCAUCCUCCAAGGCUAAAUACUCCUGACUGACCGAUAGUGAACCAGUACCGUGAGGGAAAGGCGAAAAGAACCCCGGCGAGGGGAGUGAAAAAGAACCUGAAACCGUGUACGUACAAGCAGUGGGAGCACCCUUUGGGUGUGACUGCGUACCUUUUGUAUAAUGGGUCAGCGACUUAUAUUCUGUAGCAAGGUUAACCGAAUAGGGGAGCCGGAGGGAAACCGAGUCUUAACCGGGCGUUAAGUUGCAGGGUAUAGACCCGAAACCCGGUGAUCUAGCCAUGGGCAGGUUGAAGGUUGGGUAACACUAACUGGAGGACCGAACCGACUAAUGUUGAAAAAUUAGCGGAUGACCUGUGGCUGGGGGUGAAAGGCCAAUCAAACCGGGAGAUAGCUGGUUCUCCCCGAAAGCUAUUUAGGUAGCGCCUCGUGAAUUCAUCUCCGGGGGUAGAGCACUGUUUCGGCUAGGGGGCCAUCCCGGCUUACCAACCCGAUGCAAACUGCGAAUACCGGAGAAUGUUAUCACGGGAGACACACGGCGGGUGCUAACGUCCGUCGUGAAGAGGGAAACAACCCAGACCGCCAGCUAAGGUCCCAAAGUCAUGGUUAAGUGGGAAACGAUGUGGGAAGGCCCAGACAGCCAGGAUGUUGGCUUAGAAGCAGCCAUCAUUUAAAGAAAGCGUAAUAGCUCACUGGUCGAGUCGGCCUGCGCGGAAGAUGUAACGGGGCUAAACCAUGCACCGAAGCUGCGGCAGCGACACUGUGUGUUGUUGGGUAGGGGAGCGUUCUGUAAGCCUGUGAAGGUGUGUCGUGAGGCAUGCUGGAGGUAUCAGAAGUGCGAAUGCUGACAUAAGUAACGAUAAAGCGGGUGAAAAGCCCGCUCGCCGGAAGACCAAGGGUUCCUGUCCAACGUUAAUCGGGGCAGGGUGAGUCGACCCCUAAGGCGAGGCCGAAAGGCGUAGUCGAUGGGAAACGGGUUAAUAUUCCCGUACUUGGUGUUACUGCGAAGGGGGGACGGAGAAGGCUAUGUUGGCCGGGCGACGGUUGUCCCGGUUUAAGCGUGUAGGUGUGUGUUCCAGGUAAAUCCGGUUCACUUUAACACUGAGGCGUGACGACGAGGCACUACGGUGCUGAAGCAACAAAUGCCCUGCUUCCAGGAAAAGCCUCUAAGCAUCAGGUAACAUCAAAUCGUACCCCAAACCGACACAGGUGGUCAGGUAGAGAAUACCAAGGCGCUUGAGAGAACUCGGGUGAAGGAACUAGGCAAAAUGGUGCCGUAACUUCGGGAGAAGGCACGCUGACACGUAGGUGAAGUGAUUUACUCAUGGAGCUGAAGUCAGUCGAAGAUACCAGCUGGCUGCAACUGUUUAUUAAAAACACAGCACUGUGCAAACACGAAAGUGGACGUAUACGGUGUGACGCCUGCCCGGUGCCGGAAGGUUAAUUGAUGGGGUCAGCGCAAGCGAAGCUCCUGAUCGAAGCCCCGGUAAACGGCGGCCGUAACUAUAACGGUCCUAAGGUAGCGAAAUUCCUUGUCGGGUAAGUUCCGACCUGCACGAAUGGCGUAAUGAUGGCCAGGCUGUCUCCACCCGAGACUCAGUGAAAUUGAACUCGCUGUGAAGAUGCAGUGUACCCGCGGCAAGACGGAAAGACCCCGUGAACCUUUACUAUAGCUUGACACUGAACAUUGAGCCUUGAUGUGUAGGAUAGGUGGGAGGCUUUGAAGUGUGGACGCCAGUCUGCAUGGAGCCGACCUUGAAAUACCACCCUUUAAUGUUUGAUGUUCUAACGUGGACCCGUUACCCGGGUUGCGGACAGUGUCUGGUGGGUAGUUUGACUGGGGCGGUCUCCUCCUAAAGAGUAACGGAGGAGCACGAAGGUUGGCUAAUCCUGGUCGGACAUCAGGAGGUUAGUGCAAUGGCAUAAGCCAGCUUGACUGCGAGCGUGACGGCGCGAGCAGGUGCGAAAGCAGGUCAUAGUGAUCCGGUGGUUCUGAAUGGAAGGGCCAUCGCUCAACGGAUAAAAGGUACUCCGGGGAUAACAGGCUGAUACCGCCCAAGAGUUCAUAUCGACGGCGGUGUUUGGCACCUCGAUGUCGGCUCAUCACAUCCUGGGGCUGAAGUAGGUCCCAAGGGUAUGGCUGUUCGCCAUUUAAAGUGGUACGCGAGCUGGGUUUAGAACGUCGUGAGACAGUUCGGUCCCUAUCUGCCGUGGGCGCUGGAGAACUGAGGGGGGCUGCUCCUAGUACGAGAGGACCGGAGUGGACGCAUCACUGGUGUUCGGGUUGUCAUGCCAAUGGCACUGCCCGGUAGCUAAAUGCGGAAGAGAUAAGUGCUGAAAGCAUCUAAGCACGAAACUUGCCCCGA
rnacentral:rRNA from 2 species